UACAGAGGUCCCGAGCGUUGUUCGGAUUCACUGGGCGUAAAGCGUGCGCAGGCGGUGAUGUAAGACAGAUGUGAAAUCCCCGGGCUCAACCUGGGAACUGCAUUUGUGACUGCAUCGCUGGAGUGCGGCAGAGGGGGAUGGAAUUCCGCGUGUAGCAGUGAAAUGCGUAGAUAUGCGGAGGAACACCGAUGGCGAAGGCAAUCCCCCUGGGCCUGCACUGACGCUCAUGCACGAAAGCGUGGGGAGCAAACAGG
rnacentral:rRNA from 1 species